rnacentral:rRNA from 1 species
CUACGGGUUGCUCCAGUGGGGAAUAUUGCACAAUGGACGAAAGUCUGAUGCAGCAACGCCGCGUGGAGGAUGACACAUUUCGGUGCGUAAACUCCUUUUAUAUAAGAAGAUAAUGACGGUAUUAUAUGAAUAAGCACCGGCUAACUCCGUGCCAGCAGCCGCGGUAAUACAGGGGGUGCAAGCGUUACUCGGAAUCACUGGGCGUAAAGCGCAUGUAGGCGGACUUGUAAGUUGGAAGUGAAAUCCUAUGGCUCAACCAUAGAACUGCUUCCAAAACUGCUUGUCUAGAAUAUGGGAGAGGUAGAUGGAAUUUCUGGUGUAGGGGUAAAAUCCGUAGAGAUCAGAAGGAAUACCGAUUGCGAAGGCGAUCUACUGGAACAUUAUUGACGCUCAGAUGCGAAAGCGUGGGGAGCAAACAGGAUUAGAUACCCUCGUAGUC